GACGAACGCUGGCGGCGUGCCUAAUACAUGCAAGUUGAGCGCUUAAGGUUGGUACUUGUACCAACUGGAUGAGCAGCGAACGGGUGAGUAACGCGUGGGGAAUCUGCCUUUGAGCGGGGGACAACAUUUGGAAACGAAUGCUAAUACCGCAUAAAAACUUUAAACACAAGUUUUAAGUUUGAAAGAUGCAAUUGCAUCACUCAAAGAUGAUCCCGCGUUGUAUUAGCUAGUUGGUGAGGUAAAGGCUCACCAAGGCGAUGAUACAUAGCCGACCUGAGAGGGUGAUCGGCCACAUUGGGACUGAGAAACGGCCCAAGCUCCUACGGGAGGCAGCAGUAGGGAAUCUUCGGCAAUGGACGAAAGUCUGACCGAGCAACGCCGCGUGAGUGAAGGAGGUUUUCGGAUCGUAAAACUAUGUUGGUAGAGAAGAACGUUGGUUAGAGUGGAAAGCUCAUCAAGUGACGGUAACUACCCAGAAAGCAACGGCUAACUACGUG
rnacentral:rRNA from 1 species